rnacentral:sRNA from 1 species
GAAGAGGAUGGGGGGAGAGGUUGAGUCCUCUAGGACUAAAUUUGAAAAUGAUGCGAGUGGCUGAAUACCUGGAUUGGGAUGUGUCUGAGCUGAGGCCGAUUCUUCAGGAGAUGAUGAAAGAGAUUGACUAUGAUGGGAGUGGCUCUGUCUCUCAAGCUGAGUGGGUCCGGGCUGGGGCCACCACCGUGCCACUGCUAGUGCUGCUGGGUCUGGAGAUGACUCUGAAGGACGAUGGACAGCACAUGUGGAGGCCCAAGAGGUUCCCCAGACCAGUCUACUGCAAUCUGUGCGAGUCAAGCAUUGGUCUUGGCAAACAGGGACUGAGCUGUAACCGUGAGUAAUGGGAGCUGGGAGGUGGGGGAAGAGGGUCAGCCCAGCUAUCUGUGGGAGCUUGACGCUGUGAACUUAGAAAGACCUAGGUUUGAAUCCUGGGCUCUACCACUGACUAGUUAUGUGACCUUGGGAAAGCCACAUCACUUCUUUAAGCCUUAGUUUCCUCAACUGAAAAUGAGGUAAUUGUGAGCAUUAAAAAAGUUGGUGCAAGAAAAGUGCUUCAGAUGGUGCAUGCACAUACUAUAAGAUGCAAUAAAAAAUAUCUAUUAUGAUUACUGUUGCUGUUAGACCUGGGCCUCCCAAGCAUCAUCCAGCUCAGUUCCUGCCUGGCACAUGGAUGGUGUGGGGCAGGCAUGGGGUAGCAG